GCCCGGCUUCGUCGGCAGUUAUCGGCGAACCGCGAAUCUGUCCUCGUCGUGUGUCACUGGAACAGCCCGCGCCGCGUGUACCGAGCACCGGCGAGAUGUAACAUCGCCAGCGGUAGUUGGACAAGUAGACGGCUGGAGAUAGAUUAGAUAGGACAAAGGUGACCACCCCGGGAGAACCUUUCGGAACUGCUGAUCCACAAGCCCUCGGAGACGCGUCCACCUGGUGCAUCCUUGGAUACUGGCCUCGAGGCAGUGUGUGUGUGCUUUUUCUUGCCGGGUUUCCUUGGUUUUUUCUUGGUUACUUUAGCACGAGUUUUUUGGUGAGCAGCAGGUCCCCGAGGAACUACGGUCGCUAUGCAACGCGCUGCUAGUGGAGGUGGCUGCAAGAUAUGCUAUGGGUCCCUGUGCACUCGAACUUUGCAUCAGGACUGUUAAGCAGGAGCAACCAGGAGGAACCGAUGCACGUCGUGCUCCCUCGAAACAUUAACACUCACCCCCGGGCGACCCAUUGAACGUUCGGCAAAAAUAGUUUGCCACCUCGUGUAUACAAUGCGGUGAUUCGCGGAAGGGAAGUGCAUCUCGACAGAAUUUCAGUGCAGUGCUACAAGUGAUCCGAAGAUGAAGUGGCCACUGGUGGUGACUAGCUUCCUGCUGUCGCUCUCGUGCAUCCUGGAUGCAUCGCAUGCCG